AUUGAACGCUGGCGGCAUGCCUAACACAUGCAAGUCGAACGGCAGCACAGUAAAGAUUUCGGUCUUUAUGGGUGGCGAGUGGCGGACGGGUGAGUAAUGCGUAGGAAUCUGUCCUGGAGAGUGGGAUAACCCGAGGAAACUCGGGCUAAUACUGCAUGAUAUCGAGAGAUCAAAGGCAGGGGACCCUUCGGGGCCUUGCGCUCUAGGAUGAGCCUACGUCGGAUUAGCUAGUUGGUGGGGUAAAGGCCUACCAAGGCGACGAUCCGUAGCUGGUCUGAGAGGAUGACCAGCCACACUGGGACUGAGACACGGCCCAGACUCCUACGGGAGGCAGCAGUGGGGAAUCUUGGACAAUGGGGGAAACCCUGAUCCAGCGAUGCCGCGUGUGUGAAGAAGGCCUUCGGGUUGUAAAGCACUUUAGUUGGGGAAGAAAAGUAAUGAGUGAAUAACUGAUUGCUCUGACGGUACCCAAAGAAUAAGCACCGGCUAACUCUGUGCCAGCAGCCGCCGUAA
rnacentral:rRNA from 1 species